CGUUAUCCUCCUGAACAAGAGCAGAGCAGAAGCUUGCUACACCAUCUUUUACCAGAAGAAGAUUCAUUAUCCAUUUUAAGGUUGCGCUGGAUAGAGCGAGUUUUAAUCCUCCUUGAUAAUCUUGUUGAUAAAGGUACCCCUGGAGAUGCCCACUUGCAGCCUUCCAGUUAUCUUUUCUUCGUUGCUAAACUGGUUUGCUCAGGACGGGUAUUUUAUACCCACACACCAAAGAAACUUUUUGAGGUUUGGGGAGAUGCAUCAUUGCGGAUCCUCUCGUAUUGCAAAAAAAGAGAAGAGAGCCUUGGAUCUAUCAGUUCAAGCAAACAUUUCAUCUGACAGCCUUGGAGAUCCCACUUUGGAGAUGGGGCUUUAACAACUCUGCCAGCUAUCCUUUCUCCACUGCCAUACAGAUUGUGCAGCAAGAUGGUUCGGCCCUCAUACCAGGAGGCAAAACAAGAAUUUGUUGAUUUUGCGAAUUCUAGGUGCAUUAUUUAUGACAAUAAAUGUUGGACAUUUAUUUAAUUCAUGUAUGUAUACUUGUAUUUCGUUCAGUACUUAAAGGAGGAGCAACAGAGACAGAACCCUC